rnacentral:rRNA from 1 species
UGGGGAAUAUUGGACAAUGGGGGCAACCCUGAUCCAGCAAUGCCGCGUGUGUGAAGAAGGUCUUCGGAUUGUAAAGCACUUUCGGCGGGGACGAUGAUGACGGUACCCGCAGAAGAAGCCCCGGCUAACUUCGUGCCAGCAGCCGCGGUAAUACGAAGGGGGCUAGCGUUGCUCGGAAUGACUGGGCGUAAAGGGCGUGUAGGCGGUUUGUACAGUCAGAUGUGAAAUCCCCGGGCUUAACCUGGGAGCUGCAUUUGAGACGUGCAGACUAGAGUGUGAGAGAGGGUUUGUGGAAU